rnacentral:tRNA from 1 species
GCGCGUGUAGCUCAGUUGGAUAGAGCGAUGGCCUCCGGAGCCAUAGGUCGUGGGUUCGAGUCCCUCCACGCGCGCCA